rnacentral:ncRNA from 1 species
GAAACCGGGAGAGAUCUGAUCAUAAUAGACACCGAAGGGGAAGAAACUCUCAGGUAAAAGGACCGGUU